rnacentral:rRNA from 1 species
AGCGAACGCUGGCGGCAGGCUUAACACAUGCAAGUCGAACGAACACCUUCGGGUGUUAGUGGCGAACGGGUGAGUAACACGUAAGUGACCUAACUAUAAGACGAGGAUAACUACUGGAAACGGUAGCUAAUACUGGAUAGGAUAGAAAUAUUUAAAGAUGCCUUAAAGCAUCACUUAUAGAAGGGCUUGCGGCGCAUUAGCUAGUUGGUAGGGUAAAGGCCUACCAAGGCGACGAUGCGUAGCCGACCUGAGAGGGUGACCGGCCACACUGGGACUGAGACACGGCCCAGACUCCUACGGGAGGCAG